GGUUUGGGAAACCAGAUCCUUUCCCGGCUUUUGUCGGGGACUGGUAUACAGGUGGUGCAUGGCUGUCGGUCAGCUCGUGUCGUGAGAUGUUGGGUUAAGUCCCGCAACGAGCGCAACCCUGCUCUUAGUUGCCAUCAGAUAAUGCUGGGGACUCUAAGAGGACUGCCGAGGACAACUCGGAGGAAGGUGGGAUGACGUCAAGUCAGUAUGUCCCUUACGUCCAGGGCUACACACGUGUUACAAUGGCCAGUACAAAGAGCAGCCAGCUCGCGAGAGUGAGCAAAUCUCAAAAAGCCAUCCUCAGUUCGGAUUGAAGUCUGCAACUCGACUUCAUGAAGUUGGAAUCGCUAGUAAUCGCGGAUCAGCAUGCCGCGGUGAAUUACCGUUCCGGCCUU
rnacentral:rRNA from 1 species